rnacentral:rRNA from 1 species
UACAGAGGGUGCGAGCGUUAAUCGGAGUUACUGGGCGUAAAGGGCGCGUAGGCGGACGUUUAAGUUAGAUGUGAAAGCCCUGGGCUUAACCUAGGAACUGCAUAUAAGACUGGACGACUAGAGUACUGUAGAGGGUAGUGGAAUUUCCGGUGUAGCGGUGAAAUGCGUAGAGAUCGGAAGGAACACCAGUGGCGAAGGCGGCUACCUGGACAGAUACUGACGCUGAGGCGCGAGAGCGUGGGGAGCAAACAGG